UUUUUCUGCUUUGUUCAUUACAUAUAAAAAAAAUGUGUUUAAAAAACUCUUUUCAACCAGCCCCUUUUUAUCAUUUUAAAAAAAGAAGGGCAAACAAACAAUUUAUAUUUUUAGGCCUAAUAGACCGUCUCAACGACUAUAUUGCUUUGAUAACCGGAAUCCACAUUACCUCUUACCUGAAAAAAAGAAAAAUAUUAACAAAAGCAUUGUGCUUGAAUUAGCUCAGGUAAAUAGACACACACCACGACAUAGAUGACGACUCCAAACAAUAGUGGGUGUGGGAUUGGGAUAAUGCCCAUAUGGCACCCCAUACAAAUUUCGCCCGACCGAAAUUAUCGGCGGCCGAAGUCAUGAGGAAAUGGGCCCGAUCGUCUUUGGAAAAAUGGGCCCGCCGUUUUAGAAAAUGGGCCCGAAAGUCUACAUCGGUGGGCCCGAUCGUCCAAAAAUGUGCCCGAUCGUCUCGUGUGCCCGUUCGUCUGUAAGCCGUCGUGAUCGAGUAUUUCACAAUGUCGACUACCAGGCGCCGAGAGACCUAGAUUGUUUAUCGUCUUUUAGAAUACAAGGAAAAAUAUUUAAGGAAGCUAAAAACGAAUGCAGGGCCUAUAGUAUUUUAAUUUAACAACCAACACUUCCACCCAAGAUCGUGCGUAGGGCUUAUCAAAAGGAAGGGAAAAGGAGGUACUGUACUAGAAGACCUUACCAAAUGCAAAUGCAAAUGAAGAGAAAGGUGUUAGGGGAGUUAUUACUGACAUUGUUAUAGAAGAUAAUGGUCAACCAAAAGGAACAACACCAGGCAUAUUAACCAGAGAAGGAGAAGCAAAAUUGGCAGUUAGCUUCCUAACAUUGUAGAAAAAACAACAAUCUGUAUUAAAAGCUGUAAAUGAAGAGUCCACAUUAGGUUAUGUUGAGGAAUUAUUUGAUGCUCUUCCUUUGAGAGUCGGUAUGAUAUCAAAAUGCUUAAGGAUGCACUUGACAAUGCAAAAGAAAAUCAUGAUGUCAUUCCUGAACAAAUAACAAAUUACUUUAUUUGGACUGAUAAGGCUACACUGGUUAGGGAAAGAAAGUCAAGAUUCAAAUGAAACAGAAGUUUAAUGUAGGUUAUGUAGUAAUGUUAAAAUUAGGAAUUCAAGUGCAAGUAUCGGAAGGAAAUGACUUUCAUAUUGUAAGAACUGCACAUGCUGGUAUUACUCUUCGGUUGUUUCGGCCAAGCUUGUGGCAGAUCCAACAUAUGCAACAUACUACUAAUUGUAGUUAAGAGUAAUACUGUAUUUAAGAGUAGUUAAGUACUGUAUUUAAGAGUAGUUAAGCAUAGCUUAUGUAGGUUAUGUUAGGUAGGAAGCGUCGGUGACUAAACUGACAACCCUCUCAAAUGUCUUAGUGGCUGCUGAGGGGAGGGUGUUUAUGGUCACCCAGCAGCAAGAAAAACCAAUAGCUGAACAAAGGGCGGAUGAGCUCCUCGGAGUCA